CCACCGCCGCACACACACACGCAACCCCACGCUCCAUCACUCCCCCCGCCGCCGCACACACACACACAACCCCACGCUCCAUCACUCCCCUGCCCCAAUCUUACCUCCUUUUACUUCACGCCACCUCCAAACCCCACCCUGCCCCUUCCCGCCCUGUCAAAAUCCAGGAAAGACAGGAAGGAAGGAAAGAAGGAAGAAAGAGAAAGGGAGGUAAAGAAAAAGGGGGAAGGAAGGAAAGUUAGAGAAAGAAGGAAGAAGAAAAGGAAAGAAAAGGAAAGAGGUAGAGAAGGAAGAAAUGAGAGACAGAGGGAGGGAAAGAAAAAGGGGGAAGGAAGGAAGGAGAGAAGGAAAGAAAAAAGGGAAUGAAGGAAGGAAA